UACACUGCCGCACGAGGAAGUCGAAAUAAACAUUUAUUCCAGUUUUAUUCUUAACAAAUUUAAGCUAACUUUAGUCAAGGAUCCUUUUUUUGUUGGUUUUUACUUUUUUUUAAAGAAUGAACGAAAGAAAGAAAAAGGGAAAGGGGGAAAAAAAAGGAAGGAGUACUUCAAAUUUUUGAGCCGAUCUGCAGCAUCAAGGGAUGUGGCAUCUGAAGCAAUGAAGUAAUGAGAAGCCAUGUGUCCAGGUUAUCUCACAAAGGAUAUGAGAUGUCCAUCCCAGCCAAAAGCCCAGGAUUUCUGCAGUAGCAACAAUCAAAGCAUCAGGACACUUUGGUGGAACAUAAGAAAACAAUCUGACAGCACAGCUGGACCUAAUGCAACAGAAAAGCACUCUAACCCCCUGGGUGACCCAGGGGCAGUCCUGGUAAAGCAGCAAAAGUGAAUCAUCCUUACUGGAAGAGGUGCUGAAAGGUUUGAAUAGUUUCAUAGCAGUCACUGUCUCAGCAAGCUAUGCCUCAUUGUGAUAUACUCAUCCCAGUGAUUUGAGGAGCUUCUCCAGUGCUGGAACAUCUACAAAGUAAACAGAGGAAAAUUUAUACCUCCAUUUUGCAUAUACUGCUGGGGUAUCAAAUGGAAAAUGUACUGUCACCUUCCCCAGGAAAUACAAAUAUAUGAUGUUAAAUAUAUACAAAAUAUGUGAAACCAUUUCUGCCAUUGCCAUAAAAAUAUGAUCUUUUGGCACAUGUGCUUGGAUACUCAGAAGGAAACUGAUUUUUUUAAAGCUGUAACAUGUUCUGGUGGGUUCAUGACAAUGAUGACAGUCUCUAAACACUUCAAUGAGAAGUGUUAGGUUGCCUCAAUCUCUUUGAAGCUAAGCCUGAUGCUAAGCCAUGCUCCAUUUUAAAGCAGUACCUUCAGCUUUGAUGAUUUCAUCAAAUGACUGGAUUGCCCUGCAGUGGGAUUACCUAAUCUUCACUCCAUACUUUCUACUCAUAAGCCACUUGAAAAACUGUUUUGCAUUUUGGUCUUGUAGUACAUAUUCUGCACUUGAGUGGUGUGGGUUCAACUUCAGACCCUUUUUGAAGGGGAAACAAAUCUAAAUCUGAGACUUAACCACCUCCACCCCUGCCUCCAAAAAAAAAAAAAAUAAAAUAAAAACCACCACACUGAGAAAACAAUUCCAUUACUGUCUACUACUCUAAAAUUAAAUGACAGAAGCAACACACACAAACAAUUAGAUUUCCUCUGCUGAUUUUUAUACAUGGAUGUUACAGAAGUUGUAGCUUCCCUCUGAUUCCACUCCAGUAUGGAUCAGGCAUCAUUCCACAGCUGUCACAGGAACCAAACGCAUGGGACACACAAUUUUGGUGAACUUUGUUUUUCCUGUCUACAGCACAAACCCCAUUUAAUCCUUAAACACUAAAAUUAGAAUCAUCUUUGUAUGCAUUUCCAAUGUAGUUUUAGUAAUUUCCCAACUCUAUCAUUUGAAUUUGUUCAAUGAUAUUUCCACCUUGGAAACAUGCUAAUAUUAACAUUUGGAGUAAUGGAAUAAAUACAAGUUGGGUGCCUGGAUUUCCCAUGA